rnacentral:rRNA from 1 species
GAUCAAGUGUCUUAAGGGCAAUUGGUGGAUGCCUUGGCAUGCACAGGCGAUGAAGGACGUGAUACGCUGCGAUAAGCUACGGGGAGGUGCGAAUACCCUUUGAUCCGUAGAUUUCCGAAUGGGGAAACCCACCUAAGGUGCUUGGAAAAUCAGAGCAGCAGGGCAAUUGGCGCGAGAUCCCAAAAGGAUUGAGCGUUAAGCGACGAUCUCUUUGAGAUCGCGCAGACUUGCUGCUGUGGUUUCCAAGUAUCUGUUAUAGGUAACUUAUCCUGAAUACAUAGGGAUAAAGUGGCGAACGCGGGGAACUGAAACAUCUAAGUACCCGUAGGAAAGGACAUCAACCGAGACUCCGGCAGUAGUGGCGAGCGAACCCGGACCAGGCCAGUGGCGAUGAUGAGACAAGCGGAACCUUCUGGAAAGUAGGGCCAUAGUGGGUGACAGCCCCGUACGCGUAAUGCAAAUCAUCGUCCUCGAGUAAGGCGGGACACGUGAAAUCCUGUCUGAAAUUGGGGGGACCACCCUCCAAGCCUAAGUACUCGUGCAUGACCGAUAGCGAACUAGUACCGUGAGGGAAAGGUGAAAAGCACCCCGACAAGGGGAGUGAAAGAGUACCUGAAACCGAUUGCCUACAAACAGUGGGAGUCCAAGGUUCGUCCUGGGUGACCACGUACCUUUUGUAUAAUGGGUCAGCGACUUAGUGUGACGAGCAAGCUUAAACCGCUAGGUGUAGGCGCAGCGAAAGCGAGUCUGAACAGGGCGUUCAGUUCGUCGCAUUAGACCCGAAACCGAGUGAUCUAGCCAUGAGCAGGUUGAAGGUAAGGUAACACUUACUGGAGGACCGAACCCAUAACUGUUGCAAUAGUUCGGGAUGACUUGUGGCUAGGGGUGAAAGGCCAAUCAAACUCGGAAAUAGCUGGUUC